rnacentral:rRNA from 1 species
CAAUAGCGUAUAUUAAAGUUGUUGCAGUUAAAAAGCUCGUAGUUGGAUUUCGGGGCAGCCUGGCUGGUCCGCCGCAAGGCGAGUACUGGUCAGCCGCCCUUCCUCUCGAAAGCCCCGACUGCUCUUCGUUGCAGUGGUCGGGUAGUUCGGGACGUUUACUUUGAAAAAAUUAGAGUGUUCAAGGCAGGCCUACGCCUGAAUACAUUAGCAUGGAAUAAUGGAAGAGGACCUCGGUCCUAUUUUGUUGGUUUCCAGGGCCGAAGUAAUGAUUAAGAGGGACAGUUGGGGGCACUCGUAUUUAAUUGUCAGAGGUGAAAUUCUCGGAUUUAUGAAAGACGAACAACUGCGAAAGCAUUUGCCAAGGAUGUUUUCAUUAA